rnacentral:rRNA from 1 species
AUUGAACGCUGGCGGCAGGCCUAACACAUGCAAGUCGAACGAGUGGCGGACGGGUGAGUAAUGUAUGGGAAACUGCCUGAAGGAGGGGGAUAACUACUGGAAACGGUAGCUAAUACCGCAUACCCUCAGAUGUGCCCAGAUGGGAUUAGCGUGUUGGUGGGGUAACGGCUCACAAAGGCGACGCUCCCUAGCUGGUCUGAGAGGAUGACCAGCCACACUGGAACGGAGACACGGUCCAGACUCCUACGGGAGGCAGCAGUGGGGAAUAUUGCACAAUGGGCGAAAGCCUGAUGCAGCCAUGCCGCGUGGAUGAAGAAGGCCUUCGGGUUGUAAAGUACUUGCAGCGGGGAGGCGUUACCCGAAGAAGAAGCACCGGCUAACUCCGUGCCAGCAGCCGCGGUAAUUC